UCCUGCUUAACUCAAUGGUAGAGUAGUUGACUCUUAAUCAAAUAGUUUAGGGUUCGAAUCCCUAAGCAGGAA
rnacentral:tRNA from 1 species